rnacentral:rRNA from 1 species
UACGUAGGGUGCGAGCGUUAAUCGGAAUUACUGGGCGUAAAGGGUGCGUAGGCGGUUCGCUAAGUUGGAUGUGAAAACUCUGGGCUUAACCCAGAGCCUGCAUCCAAUACUGACGAGCUAGAGUUCUGGAGGGGGUAGCGGAAUUCCUGGUGUAGCGGUGAAAUGCGUAGAUAUCAGGAGGAACACCGGUGGCGAAGGCGGCUACCUGGACAGAGUCUGACGCUGAGGCACGAAAGCUAGGGGAGCAAACAGG